rnacentral:tRNA from 1 species
GCGCGUGUAGCUCAUUGGUAGAGCGUUUCUUUGACAUAGAAAAGGCACGUGGUCCGAUUCCACGCACGCGCA